CCCCCGCCCAGGCCCCCGCCUCUUCCGCGCCCUGCCCGCCCCCGAGUGAUGGACCCGUCGAGCGCUCGCGUUCGGCAUCGGGGACAGCGGCUGGAGAGGCCCUCAGGCGCACAGAUUAAUGAACUGCAGCAGUACCACAGCACCAGCAGCAGUGCCACAGGACCAGCAGCAGUGCCACAGGACCAGCAGCAGUGCCACAGGACCAGCAGCAGUGCCACAGGACCAGCAGCAGUGCCACAGGACCAGCAACAGUGACAGUGAAAAGAGCUGAGCUGAUGGAGGUUGCUUGGCGGCGGCCUCCAUCUGUUCCAGCGAAGGAGCGGACCUGGGAGAGGAGGGUUCUGGGUUCCAGCCCAGGGGGGAGAUGGAGGGGGGCGAUGCUGAGAGAGUCAACGAGCGAAACGGUAUUACUGAGGCUGCCGUCCGGCCCGUGGGCUGCAGCCGCGCUCCCUCUCAUCUGCCGCUGCCAUUGGUCCAUUAAUUUAGGCGAGAGAUUACGGUUUUAAGAUAACGUUAAAAAGAAUGUAUCAGCCACACCAAACAAAC